rnacentral:rRNA from 1 species
GAUGGACGCUGGCGGCGUGCCUAAUACAUGCAAGUCGAGCGAACAGACGAGGAGCUUGCUCCUCUGACGUUAGCGGCGGACGGGUGAGUAACACGUGGAUAACCUACCUAUAAGACUGGGAUAACUUCGGGAAACCGGAGCUAAUACCGGAUAAUAUAUUGAACCGCAUGGUUCAAUAGUGAAAGACGGUUUUGCUGUCACUUAUAGAUGGAUCCGCGCCGCAUUAGCUAGUUGGUAAGGUAACGGCUUACCAAGGCAACGAUGCGUAGCCGACCUGAGAGGGUGAUCGGCCACACUGGAACUGAGUCACGGUCCAGACUCCUACGGGAGGCAGCAGUAGGGAAUCUUCCGCAAUGGGCGAAAGCUUGACGGAGCAACGCCGCGUGAGUGAUGAAGGUCUUCGGAUCGUAAAACUCUGUUAUUAGGGAAGAACAAAUGUGUAAGUAACUAUGCACGUCUUGACGGUACCUAAUCAGAAAGCCACGGCUAACUACGUG